GGGUGCUAGGCUGUAAAAACGGCCAGGAGGACCAUGAUAAACAUAGCAAAGAAAAAGAAACAGCCGCACUAAUAAGGCACCAAGGAGAAGGGCUGAUAAAAACAAAAAUUUAUUGGAACAGUUUAAAAUAAGAGGCUGUUUGGAAACUCUCCCAUUAACCUCAUCAUUUAACGGCUAUGUAGAAGGUUCCUCACCCUGGUCACCUGAUAUUAAGGCAUCAAACAAAAGCUUUCUGUGUUUUCAGACUCCCAUUGAGUUCUAUGGCAUCCACGACCUUAAGGGUGGCGGAUUGAAAACUAGGUACGCUGCAUCAGAAUACACGUGAGCGUACCUGUUAAAUGUUUGAUAAAUUGGGAAAAAUGUCAAAUAGAGUCGAAUGUGAAUUUGAAACAUCUGUAAUCGAUCUGCAUCGGAUAGAGAUCGCAGGAUCGUAUUUCACGUCACAAAUUUAAACAUUUGCCGAUCUUGAUGCUUUGAUAACUACGGCGGAUCAAUCUCGCAACAAAUACGACACAGAAUUCAAGCAUAUUUUCAGUUGAUGCUUUGAUAAAUUGACCCCUAAAUGUUUGACAAUAAAAUGUGUUUGAAAUAGUUACGUUAUAAUGUCUCCUAUUCUGCUAUUUAUCAUAAAUACCUUAGAAAAUGACACAAACAUUAAAAAAAAAAAUUGCCUUUCAUAUGGUGGCAUUUCACCAUAUAAUGGUAUAUCUGAAAAAUAAAAAUAUUUUCUAAAAGUG